rnacentral:rRNA from 1 species
GGAAGGAUCAUUACCGAAUUGUCAACAUGAAGUUGUUGCUGGCCCUCAGAUGGGGGCAUGUGCACACUCUGUUUACACAUCCACUCACACCUGUGCACUCCUCUGUAGUACUGUGGUCUGGGGGUUCUGUCCUCCUACUGUGGUUCUGCGUAUUUAUACACACACACUGUAAUAAAGUCUCAUGGAAUGUAUGCCGCGUUUAACGCAAUGAAAUACAACUUUCAGCAACGGAUCUCUUGGCUCUCGCAUCGAUGAAGAACGCAGCGAAAUGCGAUAAGUAAUGUGAAUUGCAGAAUUCAGUGAAUCAUCGAAUCUUUGAACGCACCUUGCGCCCUUUGGCUAUUCCGAAGGGCAUGCCUGUUUGAGUAUCAUGAACACCUCAACUCUCAUGGCUUGCCAUGAUGAGCUUGGACUUGGGGGUUUUGCUGGCCUACAGUCAGCUCCCCUCAAAUGCAUCAGCUUUCCAGUUUUUGGUGGCACCACAAGUGUGAUAAACAUCUACACGUGUGGUUCCCCACCAUGUAACCUUCAGUGAUGGAGGUUUGCUGGAGCUCACAAAUGUCUUUCCUCAGUGAAGACAGUUCUUUGAUUGUUUGAUCUCAAAUCAGG